rnacentral:rRNA from 1 species
CCCUUAGAUGUUCUGGGCCGCACGCGUGCUACACUGAGUGGAUCAGCGGGUCAGGUUGCGCGAAAGCGUUUCCUAAUCUUGAAAUCCGCUCGUGAUGGGGAUUGACGGUUGCAAUUUUCUGUCAUGAACGAGGAAUACCUUGUAAGCGCGAGUCAUCAUCCCGCGCUGAAUACGUCCCUGCCCUUUGUACACACCGCCCGUCGCUCCUACCGAUGAAUCGUCCGGUGAAGUUCAUGGAGGGGCGGUUGUUUCAACUGCCGUUGAAGUGAAAUGGACCUCACGAUUUAGAGGAAGGAGAAGUCGUAACA